rnacentral:RNase_P_RNA from 2 species
GAAGUGAAAUGAGAUGGCCGCUGCCCCGAUGUUAUGUCGGGGUGGAGGAAAGUCCGGACUCCAUAGGGCAGGGAGGUCGCUAACGGCGACCGCCCCGAUGCAUCAUCGGGGCAGGGAAAGGACCACAGAAAAUAAACCGCCCCGAUGUUUCAUCGGGGUAAGGGUGAAACGGCGGAGUAAGAGCCCACCGCUCCGAUGGCGACAUCGGAGGCUCGGCAACCCCCUCCCGGAGCAAGACCAAAUAGGAAGGCAUUUAAGGAUGGCCCGUCUGUGCCUUCGGGUUGGUUGCUUGAGGUGCUGAGUAAUCAGCAUCCCAGAUGAAUGGCCAUCACCCCGAUGCAAUCGGGGAAACAGAAUCCGGCUUACGGUUUCACUUCAGCG